UAGGGAAUCUUCGGCAAUGGGGGCAACCCUGACCGAGCAACGCCGCGUGAGUGAAGAAGGUUUUCGGAUCGUAAAGCUCUGUUGUAAGAGAAGAACGUGUGUGAGAGUGGAAAGUUCACACAGUGACGGUAACUUACCAGAAAGGGACGGCUAACUACGUGCCAGCAGCCGCGGUAAUACGUAGGUCCCGAGCGUUGUCCGGAUUUAUUGGGCGUAAAGCGAGCGCAGGCGGUUUAAUAAGUCUGAAGUUAAAGGCAGUGGCUUAACCAUUGUUCGCUUUGGAAACUGUUAAACUUGAGUGCAGAAGGGGAGAGUGGAAUUCCAUGUGUAGCGGUGGAAUGCGUAGAUAGAUGGAGGAACACCGGUGGCGAAAGCGGCUCUCUGGUCUGUAACUGACGCUGAGGCUCGAAAGCGUGGGGAGCAAACAGG
rnacentral:rRNA from 1 species